rnacentral:rRNA from 1 species
AGAAUCAACGCUGGCGGCGUGCCUAACACAUGCAAGUCGAACGAGAAAGUGGAGCAAUCCAUGAGUAAAGUGGCGACCGGGUGAGUAACACGUGACUAACCUACCUUCGAGUGGGGGAUAACAUCGGGGAAACCGAUGCUAAUACCGCAUAACAUCGCAAGAUCAAAGCAGCAAUGCGCUUGAAGAGGGGGUCGCGGCUGAUUAGCUAGUUGGCGGGGUAAUGGCCCACCAAGGCGAAGAUCGGUA